CCUACGGGUGGCAGCAGUAGGGAAUUUUGCGCAAUGGGCGAAAGCCUGACGCAGCAACACCGCGUGAAUGUUAAGCGCUUCGGGGUGUAAAGUUCUGUCAAUAGGGACGAAUUUUGACUGUACCUAUAAAGGAAGCACCGGCUAACUCCGUGCCAGCAGCCGCGGUAAUACGGGGGGUGCACGCGUUGUCCGGAAUGAUUGGGCGUAAAGCGUUCGUAGGAGGGGAUGUAAGUCUGAGGUUAAAGCCCGGGGCUCAACACCGGGUCGGCAGUGGUUAAUAUCUAGCUAGAAUGUGGUAGAGGUAAACGGAAUUCGUGGUGUAGCGGUGAAAUGCGUAGAUAUCAGGAGGAACACCGGUGGCGAAGGCGCGUUACUGGACCAUUAUUGACGCUGAGGAACGAAAGCGAGGGGAGCAAAUGGGAUUAGAUACCCGGGUAGUC
rnacentral:rRNA from 1 species